CUACCUAUGAUUUGGCUCAUGGGGCCUUUGUGCCACUGAGGUAGGUGGCGGGGUGUUGGUCUCUCGGUGACACGUAUAAGAUUUUAAUAUUGAUUGGCCGUGACAAGUGAGGCCCUAACUAUUACCUGAUGCAAGACGAUAACAAUGUGUUGGGCCAAUUGGGCUUGUACCUCUGAUCAUAGGGAUGAGUGUUGGCCUUGAGGGACCACUCAACUAAAGGCAAAGAGGCCUAUGGAAUUAUACCUAAUUGGUUUGUUAACCUUAAGUUACUACCUAACUGGGUUUCUUUUUCUUCACACAUACCUGCUAUUGGC